UGCGCUCCUUCCCACCACGUGGGGCGGACUCUCUGAACGUUCUGAGCAGCAGCUGUAGGUCACGUGAAACGAGCCCAGCUCAGCGACAACGGAAGACACGAGGUGGACAGGGAGCAGGCGCGCUCGCAAGGCCGCCACGGAGCAGGCGACUCGGAGCGCGGCAUUUAUCACCACCACCACCGCCUCCACCUCGCGGACACCCACCGCUUGUCAUCGCUGCCAUUUUGCCGGCAGCGAUGACUGCGUUAAUACAACAGAGCGGGAGACCCUGCCAGGCUGCCCCUUCGUGAGCUGCAGAUCUGCCCUCGCAGUGCCACGGUCGUUGCCUGCUGCUGCUGCCUGGAAGUCGGCGUCAUCAGCAGACUGGCUGAAGAAGCGAGGAGCACGUGUGGCUCGCACACCCAGAGCGGCUUCUCCUCACUGAGAUGCGCUCCCGUGCGAGUCCGAGAGCCGUCGCAUGCUCACGCCAGCUCACAUAGUUCACCCCAACUCGGUUGGGUGGCCCUGUGCGAGUUCCUCUCUCAAACCCUCGCUCUACUUAUACCGACGGGGGAGGAACCUUCAACUGCUGUGGCCCCGAAGUGUUUGAACUGCACUAAUUGCUGAACUU